rnacentral:rRNA from 1 species
CCCCUAGAUGUUCUGGGCCGCACGCGCGCUACACUGAACAGUUCAACAAGUCUUAACCUUGGCCGAUAGGUCUGGGUAAUCUUUGAACGCUGUUCGUGAUUGGGAUAGACCUUUGCAAUUAUGGGUCUUCAACGAGGAAUUCCUAGUAAACGCAAGUCAUCAGCUUGCAUUGAUUACGUCCCUGCCCUUUGUACACACCGCCCGACGCACCUACCGAUUGAAUGGUCCGGUGAAAUCUCGGGACGGCGGCUUGGUCGCUUGCGUCCGACUGCUGAAACUUGAUUAAACCAUAUCAUUUAGAGGAAGGUGAAGUCGUAACA